UCUUCCGAUCUUGGUCGAGUCGGCCUGCGCGGAAGAUGUAACGGGGCUAAACCAUGCACCGAAGCUGCGGCAGCGAACGUAUCACCCAAGACAACUUUACGGAGUUGACGAUUGACGGAGCGAAGCGACGUCAAAGCGUUCAUUAAAGUCGAGUUGGCUUAGGGAUACGUUCGUUGGGUAGGGGAGCGUUCUGUAAGCCUGUGAAGGUGUGUCGUGAGGCAUGCUGGAGGUAUCAGAAGUGCGAAUGCUGACAUAAGUAACGAUAAAGCGGGUGAAAAGCCCGCUCGCCGGAAGACCAAGGGUUCCUGUCCAACGUUAAUCGGGGCAGGGUGAGUCGACCCCUAAGGCGAGGCCGAAAGGCGUAGUCGAUGGGAAACGGGUUAAUAUUCCCGUACUUGGUGUUACUGCGAAGGGGGGACGGAGAAGGCUAUGUUGGCCGGGCGACGGUUGUCCCGGUUUAAGCGUGUAGGUGUGUGUUCCAGGUAAAUCCGGUUCACUUUAACACUGAGGCGUGACGACGAGGCACUACGGUGCUGAAGCAACAAAUGCCCUGCUUCCAGGAAAAGCCUCUAAGCAUCAGGUAACACGAAAUCGUACCCCAAACCGACACAGGUGGUCAGGUAGAGAAUACCAAGGCGCUUGAGAGAACUCGGGUGAAGGAACUAGGCAAAAUGGUGCCGUAACUUCGGGAGAAGGCACGCUGACACGUAGGUGAAGUGAUUUACUCACGGAGCUGAAGUCAGUCGAAGAUACCAGCUGGCUGCAACUGUUUAUUAAAAACACAGCACUGUGCAAACACGAAAGUGGACGUAUACGGUGUGACGCCUGCCCGGUGCCGGAAGGUUAAUUGAUGGGGUCAGCGUAAGCGAAGCUCCUGAUCGAAGCCCCGGUAAACGGCGGCCGUAACUAUAACGGUCCUAAGGUAGCGAAAUUCCUUGUCGGGUAAGUUCCGACCUGCACGAAUGGCGUAAUGAUGGCCAGGCUGUCUCCACCCGAGACUCAGUGAAAUUGAACUCGCUGUGAAGAUGCAGUGUACCCGCGGCAAGACGGAAAGACCCCGUGAACCUUUACUAUAGCUUGACACUGAACAUUGAGCCUUGAUGUGUAGGAUAGGUGGGAGGCUUUGAAGUGUGGACGCCAGUCUGCAUGGAGCCGACCUUGAAAUACCACCCUUUAAUGUUUGAUGUUCUAACGUGGACCCGUAAUCCGGGUUGCGGACAGUGUCUGGUGGGUAGUUUGACUGGGGCGGUCUCCUCCUAAAGAGUAACGGAGGAGCACGAAGGUUGGCUAAUCCUGGUCGGACAUCAGGAGGUUAGUGCAAUGGCAUAAGCCAGCUUGACUGCGAGCGUGACGGCGCGAGCAGGUGCGAAAGCAGGUCAUAGUGAUCCGGUGGUUCUGAAUGGAAGGGCCAUCGCUCAACGGAUAAAAGGUACUCCGGGGAUAACAGGCUGAUACCGCCCAAGAGUUCAUAUCGACGGCGGUGUUUGGCACCUCGAUGUCGGCUCAUCACAUCCUGGGGCUGAAGUAGGUCCCAAGGGUAUGGCUGUUCGCCAUUUAAAGUGGUACGCGAGCUGGGUUUAGAACGUCGUGAGACAGUUCGGUCCCUAUCUGCCGUGGGCGCUGGAGAACUGAGGGGGGCUGCUCCUAGUACGAGAGGACCGGAGUGGACGCAUCACUGGUGUUCGGGUUGUCAUGCCAAUGGCACUGCCCGGUAGCUAAAUGCGGAAGAGAUAAGUGCUGAAAGCAUCUAAGCACGAAACUUGCCCCGAGAUGAGUUCU
rnacentral:rRNA from 1 species